ACGGGGCAUAUGUCUCGCUCUGCCUACACCCCUGCUGGCAACCUCCGGGAGAGACUGUGCCUGCCUGGUUGUUGUGUUUACGGGAUGAAGGGAUGGACGGCAUCCUGUGCUCCCCAAGGGAGAUGGGGCAAUUGGCAUCCGUAACUGUACAUCCUUCCCUGAGGCAGAGGCCACAGGCAAGUGGUUGCCAUGGUGAGGGCCACCACUCCUUGCUUGAAGGGCUUAUGGCUGCCACCCGCCCUCACGGUAUGGGAUGAUGCCAGAGAACUACCCCAAACCAUCUAGAAGAAGCCGCCACCAAUCUUUGCAGCUGGUUGGAACAAUGGAGUUGGGUGGUGAACGACUCCAAGAUCCAGGAACCUAGCUUGUUGGUAAAAUUCUUGCAUGUUGUCUGAUCAGGUUCCCUCAUUUGACACCAGCUCCUGAAGUCUGCAAGGCCCCACAGAACCUGCUCACACAAAGUGGGGAACUGAGUGUCCCGUUUCCUCUGUAUCUUCAGAAGGAAGGAUGGGUCUGUAGAACAUUUUACUAUACAAUCCACUAUUAAUUCUCUGAUGAGAACAUCUCUGAGAUCAUCGAAACAGGAAUUGCCUACACAGGGAAGAAAUGUUUUGCCUUAGAAAUACUGUACAAGAAGUCUCCAAUAAAUGCCAAGUGGUCCUGUAAGAAAAAGUUCAGCUGCUCCCUGGAAUCCACAUACAUGUAUUAAGGACUUUCCAUGUCCAGGUCACGCUUGACUAAAGGAGAUAUCAGAAUAUGGCUCACCCUCAAUUCCCAAGGGCUCCAGGAAUCCUGGCAUCUGCUCGGCUUUCCCUUUGCAGUUCUAAUAAGCAGGACUUUCAAAUGUUGGAAGCUCAAGGUCCUAUCAGAUGCCUAUAAAGAAGAAUGGUUUUUAAAACCAGGAGACUUGAACUAAAAUCACCAUUCUACAGAGUCAAACUAGACUGAGUGAGAAAUAUCUUUUGAAGAAAUGUAUCAUAAACACCGUUUGCCAGGGAUUAUGUAUUCCAGAAGAUAACUAUGUACCAACAUCUCAGAGAUGAGAGGUGUGACUCCACCUCAUGUGCUCUACUCUAGAGAUGGAGAUGAAGGGCACAUUGUCAAGGCUAUAAAAGGGGCUCAACUUCUUUAUUUCUUCCAUCAUUCAUUUUUUCAAUAGGCAUUAUACACACACACACACACACACACACACACAAAUUAUUCUUACCUUAGAGCAGUGUCUCUGAAGAGUAGUCUAUGUGUCAUCUUCACCAGAAUCACCUGGGGACUAAUUAGACAUUUCGAGAUCCUGGGUCAUAGUCUAGAUCCACUGAGUAAGAUCCGCUAGCUAGAAUCCAGAAAUCUGAAUUUCAGCAAAGCCACUACAGUGAUGGUUAUGUGUACCAAUGUUUGAGAAACACCGUCUUCUAGGUUUUACCUUCUUUAUUGAUUGCACUCAAGUUCCAUCUGUCAAUCUUGAAGGUAAAUAUAGCUUCAGCCUUUUAGGGAGACAGAACUCUUGAUUGAUAUUCCCUUCCUAAUACAAAUCUCAACAAGAUUUAAAAUAAAUAGAACUAUAUAAAAAAUGUAUUAAAUUAAGAUAUUCACACUCAGAGGAUUUUUCCAUAAUCCUCUGUAUGAUUAUUUAGUGAAACUCUAGCCUGAAAAUUUAGCUUUCCAAUGAGCCAUUGGUCUAUAAACAUUCUUUAAAGAAUCUUGGCUUUUCCUUGGUUUUUGCUUUGUGUGCUUUACUAAAUGACUUGUCUAGUUAAAGCUGAAAAGUGAUGUACGGAUUUAUUUCCUUCAAUCGCGUGAUUCAUCAAACAAUCUGACCAUGUGUAGGUAUCACAAGCCUUCACAAAUGGGAUGCGGAGACUCAACUGGGUCAAGACACAUUUCUUUUGACGACAGGUUUGAGAAAAAAAUCAAUUGCUUUGUGAACAUCAUAUUGUUGCUUAUACACAGCUUAUAGUAAUACAGGUGUGAAUGCCUCAAAA